AUUCUUCACAGACACUGCGUGGACAAAGAACAACAGAUGUGUUCCUUCUUGUGUGUAUCCCACAUCUGGUUAUAGGAAGAACAGCUUCAGGCAGAAGAUCACAAGCUACCUGCUUGCCCCCCAUUCAAUCGAAAGGCAUUCAAAGACAUGGAUUCAGCAGAGCAGAUGACAUAUUUACUGGGAUUCUAUCCACCCUGGCACAGCACUCUGACCACCAAGAUUUGGGUGAAAAGGAGCCAGCUUGUCUUUCUGCAGCUUUGCUCUGUGUGAUCCAGGUAAAUUGGAAUUUACAGAGGACAUUGGCAUAGCAAGAUCAGUUUGUGAAUUCUGUCUGAGUCAUCUUAGUGUAUGCAAGACAUUUACUCAUUCACUUCAGUUUUGGUUAUCUGAUUGUAAUCUUUAAGGAAAAUUAGUAAUGAUAAAUAAAAUUGACAGUUGAGGAGUCAGAACA